UACGUAGGGUGCGAGCGUUAAUCGGAAUUACUGGGCGUAAAGCGUGCGCAGGCGGUUCGUUGUGUCGGCGGUGAAAGCCCCGGGCUCAACCUGGGAAUGGCCGUUGAAACUGGCGAACUGGAGUGUGGCAGAGGGGGGUGGAAUUCCGCGUGUAGCAGUGAAAUGCGUAGAGAUGCGGAGGAACACCGAUGGCGAAGGCAGGCCCCUGGGCUGACACUGACGCUCAGGCACGAAAGCGUGGGGAGCAAACAGG
rnacentral:rRNA from 1 species